rnacentral:tRNA from 1 species
UGGCGAAGUGGUCAUUGCACUCGCCUUGCACGCGGGAGACCCGGGUUCGAUUCCCGG